UCGAAUGCAAUAUGGGGAUGUUGCUGGCUUUAUGCAAGUGCACUCCUCUAUUCCAUACAUCCACCUGUGCACAUGAAGUAGGCAUAUAGAUUGAGUUCUGUUGCCUAUGCUUUUUCUUAUUCACACCUGUGAAAGAUUGUAUUAUGUUCAUAAAUAAAUAUGA
rnacentral:misc_RNA from 1 species